rnacentral:rRNA from 1 species
GUACGCUGGCGGCAUGCUCUCACACAUUGAAAGUUGAACGGGUUUAAGUCUAUUAAACCUUAAACAAGUAGCGGACGGGUGAGUAACGCGUAAGAACCUACCUUUAGGUAAGGAAUAACUAUUGGAAACGAUAGAUAAUACCUUAUAAGCUUAUAGUAAAAGAUAAAAUCGCCUAAGGAUGGGCUUGCGUCUGAUUAGCUUGUUGGUGAUUUAAAAGAUUCACCAAGGCAACGAUCAGUAGUUGGUCUAAGAGGAUGAUCAACCACACUGGGACUGAGACACGGCCCAGACCUCUACGGAGGGCAGCAGUGAGGAAUUUUCCGCAAUGGGCGAAAGCCUGACGGAGCAAUGCCGCGUGGAGGAUGAAAGCUUGUGAGUCGUAAACUCCUUUUCUUAGUGAAGAAAUAAGACGGUAUCUAAGGAAUAAGCAUCGGCUAACUCCGUGCCAGCAGACCGCGGUAAUACGGAGGAUGC